rnacentral:rRNA from 1 species
CCCCGGGCUCAACCUGGGAACUGCGUUNUGAACUGGGUGACUAGAGUGUGUCAGAGGGAGGUAGAAUUCCACGUGUAGCUGUGAAAUGCGUAGAGAUGUGGAGGAAUACCGAUGGCGAAGGCAGCCUCCUGGGAUAACACUGACGUUCAUGCCCGAAAGCGUGGGUAGCAANCAGGAUUAGAUACCCUGGUAGUCCACGCCCUAAACGAUGUCGAUUAGCUGUUGGGCAGCAUGACUGCUUAGUAGCGAAGCUAACGCGUGAAAUCGACCGCCUGGGGAGUACGGUCGCAAGAUUAAAACUCAAAGGAAUUGACGGGGACCCGCACAAGCGGUGGAUGAUGUGGAUUAAUUCGAUGCAACGCGAAGAACCUUACCUGGUCUUGACAGGUACGGAACCCUCCAGAGACGGAGGAGUGCCUUCGGGAGCCGUAACACAGGUGCUGCAUGGCUGUCGUCAGCUCGUGUCGUGAGAUGUUGGGUUAAGUCCCGCAACGAGCGCAACCCUUGUCAUUAGUUGCCAUCAUUAAGUUGGGCACUCUAAUGAGACUGCCGGUGACAAGCCGGAGGAAGGUGGGGAUGACGUCAAGUCCUCAUGGCCCUUAUGACCAGGGCUUCACACGUCAUACAAUGGUCGGUACAGAGGGUAGCCAAGCCGCGAGGCGGAGCCAAUCUCACAAAACCGAUCGUAGUCCGGAUUGCACUCUGCAACUCGAGUGCAUGAAGUCGGAAUCGCUAGUAAUCGCAGGUCAGCAUACUGCGGUGAAUACGUUCCCGGGUCUUGUACACACCGCCCGUCACACCAUGGGAGUGGGGGAUACCAGAAGUAGGUAGGGUAACCGCAAGGAGCC